UCUACGGGAGGCAGCAGUGGGGAAUCUUGCACAAUGGGCGAAAGCCUGAUGCAGCAACGCCGCGUGCGGGAAGAAGGCCCUAGGGUUGUAAACCGCUUUUAGCAGGGAAGAAACUGACGGUACCUGCAGAAAAAGGUGCGGCCAACUACGUGCCAGCAGCCGCGGUAAUA
rnacentral:rRNA from 1 species